AUUGAACGCUGGCGGCAGGCCUAACACAUGCCAGUCGAGCGGAUGAAGGGAGCUUGCUCCUGGAUUCAGCGGCGGACGGGUGAGUAAUGCCUAGGAAUCUGCCUGGUAGUGGGGGAUAACGUCCGGAAACGUGCGCUAAUACCGCAUACGUCCUGAGGGAGAAAGUGGGGGAUCUUCGGACCUCACGCUAUCAGAUGAGCCUAGGUCGGAUUAGCUAGUUGGUGGGGUAAAGGCCUACCAAGGCGACGAUCCGUAACUGGUCUGAGAGGAUGAUCAGUCACACUGGAACUGAGACACGGUCCAGACUCCUACGGGAGGCAGCAGUGGGGAAUAUUGGACAAUGGGCGAAAGCCUGAUCCAGCCAUGCCGCGUGUGUGAAGAAGGUCUUCGGAUUGUAAAGCACUUUAAGUUGGGAGGAAGGGCAGUAAGUUAAUACCUUGCUGUUUUGACGUUACCAACAGAAUAAGCACCGGCUAACUUCGUG
rnacentral:rRNA from 1 species